rnacentral:rRNA from 1 species
AGUGAACGCUGGCGGUAGGCCUAACACAUGCAAGUCGAACGGCAGCACAGUAAGAGCUUGCUCUUACGGGUGGCGAGUGGCGGACGGGUGAGGUAUACAUCGGAAUCUACUCUUUCGGGGAGGAUAACGUAGGGAAACUUACGCUAAUAUCGCAUACGACCUACGGGUGAAGGCGGGGGAUCUUCGCACCUGGCGCGAUUGAAUGAGCCGAUGUGGGAUUAGCUAGUUGGCGGGGUAAAGGCCAACCAAGGCGACGAUCCGUAGCCGGUCUGGGAGGAUGGUCAGCGACACUGGAAGUGGGACAGGGUCAAUACUCCUACGGGACGGCGCAGUCGGGUAUAUUAGACAGUGGGCGCGAGUCUGAUCCAGUCAUAGGGCGUCGGUUGAAGAGACGCUCGGGUUGUAAAGCCGGUCUGUUGGGAAAGAAAAGCAGCAGGUUAAGACGACGCUGUUCUGACGGUAACCAAAGAAUAAGCACCGGCUAACUUCGUG